AAGUGAGAAUCUUGUCCACCGAAUGCCUAAGGUUUCCUGAGGAAGGCUCGUCCGCUCAGGGUUAGUCGGGACCUAAGCCGAGGCUGAAAAGCGUAGGCGAUGGCCAACAGGUUGAUAUUCCUGUACCCCCUCCCCGCCGUUUGAGUAAUGGGGGGACGCAGUAGGAUAGGGUAAGCGCGCUGCUGGAUAUGCGCGUUCAAGCAGUUAGGCUGAUGAGUAGGCAAAUCCGCUCAUCAU
rnacentral:rRNA from 1 species